UAGGGAAUAUUGGGCAAUGGACGAGAGUCUGACCCAGCCAUGCCGCGUGUAGGAAGAAGGCUUUCUGAGUUGUAAACUACUUUUGAUUGGGAACAAAAGAUCCCUGCGGGGAGCAUUGAGUGUACCAAUAGAAUAAGCACCGGCUAACUCCGUGCCAGCAGCCGCGGUAAUACGGAGGGUGCAAGCGUUGUCCGGAUUUAUUGGGUUUAAAGGGUGCGUAGGCGGCUAAUUAAGUCAGCGGUGAAAUUCCACAGCUUAACUGUGGAACUGCCAUUGAUACUGGUUGGCUUGAGUACAGAUGAGGUAGGCGGAAUUGACAGUGUAGCGGUGAAAUGCUUAGAUAUUGUCAAGAACACCUAUUGCGAAGGCAGCUUACUAAGCUGUAACUGACGCUGAGGCACGAAAGCGUGGGGAUCAAACAG
rnacentral:rRNA from 1 species